GUAUGACCUCCUUACCUGUAGAGAGUGAACUCUGUGUUGUCUGUACAGGUCACACGGCACAAGGGGGAAGACUCCUGCAGCCACUGGGCACCCUACAACAUAUACAAGACCGAUUGACCUUUUCUGUGACCUGGAAAUCGACCCUGGCCACAGUCUUCCCAUCAGCCAUCAGUGGAUGUGAGGCCGCCAGUGUCACAAUACAGACCCUAAGGCAACAGGCAUUUCAAUAAAAAUUGACACAUUGUCAAGUCAUAUCAUCCUAUAUCCACAAACAUAUCAACAUUCUGGUGUUGACUUCACCAGGAUAGCAUGAUGAAAUAUGUAGACGUAUUACUAGUAAUGGAUACAGAGCAAUUUCUCAUUUUUCAUUGAAUGUGCUUUCUAGAUUUAGUAUCUUCAGAUAGAAUAGAAUGUUUUUGAUGAAAUGGCUUUUCUGCUGUUAGUUAAACCUGUACUACUAGACAACUGCUAUAGAAGGAUUAUGUGGUCAUUGCAGCCUUUUUUGGUGGUCCCUUAGAUAAUUUUCCCCAUUGACCCCAGCAUUAAGAAGCCUGUCUGUAUUGACCACAUUGUACCUGUCUGGUGAGGGGCACAGUCAAAUUGUUCCUACUGCAAUUUCUCUUGGUCAACAUUUUGUAAGCGUAUUUGGAACUAGGGAUUUAUAAAACCAAGCAAAUGUAGUUCAUUUAUGAAGCCUUGAUGAAGAAACGAUGAUUCAAUAUUCAUCUCUAGUAAGCUAAGGGGUGAGGCUGGCAUGGGGGUGUGGAAACAGAAAUUGUACCACAGCACCCCCUAUCUGCUACAAACGGUAUUACCUCAAAUUGCACCUGUUAAUUUACUUGAAAUAUUACCAGUCAAGUUAUGUUAUCUCUAGUGUAUGCAAUG